AUGAACAUUUCGAUGAAACCCCCUCCUCUAUCAUCUCCGUCACCCCCAAAUUCCUCGACCUAGGGAUUCCGCACCAGCUCCAUCCUUCCAGUCAAUCGAUCACCUUCCCUAGUUCCCUUGAAUCUUCAGCGGCAUUCACACACGGGUUUAGAUGCUGGUGGCGGCGCCGGCGGCGGCGGUGAAGACUUUAGCUAGCCUAGCUAAUGAUUGAUGUCUUGCAAACUGUUGAUUUGCGCCAACCUACAUCAUCGUAGCCUCAUAGGAGCAGGCACCAGCGGGGCGGUUAUCAGCCCAUACCUCUCCCUUAUCUCCAAGAGCGGGCACCAGCGUGGCGGGUGGCGAGCGGCUGGUGUGCGCGGGCGCCAGCAGGAGCGGCGGCCGGUGGGGCGGGCCCGUGAGCUCGGGGACCGGCGCGCCCGGUUGGAUGCAGCGGCGGCCGACCGCGCACAGGAGCGGCGUGGGCGGCCGGUGGACGCGGACGCCGGCAGAAGCGAUGGCCGGUGGUGCGGGCCCGUGAGCGCUGGAUGCAGCGGUGGCCAACCGGGCGCGGGAGGGGCGGGCAGCGGGCGCCGGCGGGAGUGGGAGGGCGAGCUCCGGCAGGUACACAAGGGUGGCGUGGGACCGUCGGGGGUAGCCCCAGCCAAGCUGCAGCUAGCGCGGGCGACGAUGGAGAAGCAGUACGGGGUCGUGGGAUGGUGGCGCGGCCACGGUUGCGGCAGCAGGAGCGGAUACGGCCAGCUUUUUUUAUUAUCCAAAAAUAUCUUUGCUGGCGGGCUAUUUAAGCACCCGUCAGCGCAAAUUAAAACUGUACUGGCGGGUGGACACCCGCCAACACAAAGACUAUUUGUGCUGACAGUGAGUUGUUGCUGGUGGGUGCAGUAGAAAUCAAUUUUGACUGCCAGCGAAAAUGUUUUUUGGCGCUGUGAAUAUUACAAGAACAUAAAAACCUGUAGGGGUAGCCCAUUCUGCACAAGGUCAAACCGAUUUCUGUGCGCAAGCCCACACUGCAUUCCCUCCAACUUUCCUUUGAACAAAUGAAGUGUUUCCCUACAUAUUUCGUUUGCUUGAUUUCUGUGGACCUUGAUGAACACAAAAACCAACAUGGUAAGCAAGUUAUGCAAUAUUGAAAGAUGGCUUUAGUUAACAGCUAAAGUUAAUCUUAAACAUGCUAAAAAGAUGGCCAACAAAGCACGCCACAAGAUUGAAAGAAUCCCACACACUCCUGAAACCAUGCAUCCAUUAUAUAGCCCAACUUCAUUUUCAGUUUAUUAUCAUAUAUUUCUACAUGCACACUCAAAGGCAGCACUAUGACAUGAUUUUAGUUGAUUCAGUAGCCAACCCACAGAUGAAGCAGUUUUUGC